rnacentral:rRNA from 1 species
GAUGAACGCUAGCUACAGGCUUAACACAUGCAAGUCGAGGGGAAACGGCAUUGAGUGCUUGCACUCUUUGGACGUCGACCGGCGCACGGGUGAGUAACGCGUAUCCAACCUUCCCAUUACUGUGGGAUAACCUGCCGAAAGGCAGACUAAUACCGCAUAGUCUUCGAUGACGGCAUCAGAUUUGAAGUAAAGAUUUAUCGGUAAUGGAUGGGGAUGCGUCUGAUUAGCUUGUUGGCGGGGUAACGGCCCACCAAGGCUACGAUCAGUAGGGGUUCUGAGAGGAAGGUCCCCCACAUUGGAACUGAGACACGGUCCAAACUCCUACGGGAGGCAGCAGUGAGGAAUAUUGGUCAAUGGACGGAAGUCUGAACCAGCCAAGUAGCGUGCAGGAUGACGGCCCUAUGGGUUGUAAACUGCUUUUGUAUGGGGAUAAAGUUAGGGACGUGUCCCUAUUUGCAGGUACCAUACGAAUAAGGACCGGCUAAUUCCGUGCCAGCAGCCGCGGUAAUACGGAAGGUCCAGGCGUUAUCCGGAUUUAUUGGGUUUAAAGGGAGCGUAGGCUGGAGAUUAAGUGUGUUGUGAAAUGUAGACGCUCAACGUCUGAAUUGCAGCGCAUACUGGUUUCCUUGAGUACGCACAACGUUGGCGGAAUUCGUCGUGUAGCGGUGAAAUGCUUAGAUAUGACGAAGAACUCCGAUUGCGAAGGCAGCUGACGGGAGCGCAACUGACGCUUAAGCUCGAAGGUGCGGGCAUCAAACAGG